GAUGAACGCUGGCGGCGUGCCUAAUACAUGCAAGUCGAGCGAACAGACGAGGAGCUUGCUCCUCUGACGUUAGCGGCGGACGGGUGAGUAACACGUGGAUAACCUACCUAUAAGACUGGGAUAACUUCGGGAAACCGGAGCUAAUACCGGAUAAUAUAUUGAACCGCAUGGUUCAAUAGUGAAAGACGGUUUUGCUGUCACUUAUAGAUGUAUCCGCGCCGCAUUAGCUAGUUGGUAAGGUAACGGCUUACCAAGGCAACGAUGCGUAGCCGACCUGAGAGGGUGAUCGGCCACACUGGAACUGAGACACGGUCCAGACUCCUACGGGAGGCAGCAGUAGGGAAUCUUCCGAAAUGGGCGAAAGCCUGACGGAGCAACGCCGCGUGAGUGAUGAAGGUAUUCGGAUCGUAAAACUCUGUUAUUAGGGAAGAACAAAUGUGUAAGUAACUAUGCACGUCUUGACGGUACCUAAUCAGAAAGCCACGGCUAACUACGUG
rnacentral:rRNA from 1 species